AUGAACGCUGGCGGCGUGCCUAAUCCCUGCCAGUCGAGCGAACAGACGAGGAGCUUGCUCCUCUGACGUUAGCGGCAGACGGGUGAGUAACCCGUGGAUAACCUACCUAUAAGACUGGGAUAACUUCGGGAAACCGGAGCUAAUACCGGAUAAUAUAUUGAACCGCAUGGUUCAAUAGUGAAAGACGGUUUUGCUGUCACUUAUAGAUGGAUCCCCGCCGCAUUAGCUAGUUGGUAAGGUAACGGCUUACCAAGGCAACGAUGCGUAGCCGACCUGAGAGGGUGAUCGGCCACACUGGAACUGAGACACGGUCCAGACUCCUACGGGAGGCAGCAGUAGGGAAUCUUCCGCAAUGGGCGAAAGCCUGACGGAGCAACGCCGCGUGAGUGAUGAAGGUCUUCGGAUCGUAAAACUCUGUUAUUAGGGAAGAACAAAUGUGUAAUUAACUAUGCACGUCUUGACGGUACCGAAUCAGAAAGCCACGGCUAACUACGUG
rnacentral:rRNA from 1 species